AAGAAAAUUAAAUAACAAUAACGAGGUUAUAUACAGGGUAUUACGGUACAGAGUCAAUGUGGAGGCUAUAUACAGGGUAUUACGGUACAGAGUCAAUGUGGAGGCUAUAUACAGGGUGUUACGGUACAGAGUCAAUGUGGAGGCUAUAUACAGGGUGUUACGGUACAGAGUCAAUGAGGAGGCUAUAUACAGGGUGUUACGGUACAGAGUCAAUGUGGAGGCUAUAUACAGGGGGUACCGGUACAGAGUCAGUGUGGAGGCUAUAUACAGGGGGUACCGAUACAGAGUCAAUGUGGAGGCUAUAUACAGGGGGUACCGGUACAGAGUCAGUGUGGAGGCUAUAUACAGGGUGUUACGGUACAGAGUCAAUGUGGAGGCUAUAUACAGGGUGUUACGGUACAGAGUCAAUGUGGAGGCUAUAUACAGGGUGUUACGGUACAGAGUCAUUGUGGAGGCUAUAUACAGGGUGUUACGGUACAGAGUCAAUGUGGAGGCUAUAUACAGGGGGUACCGGUACAGAGUCAAUGUGGAGGCUAUAUACAGGGGGUACCGGUACAGAGUCAAUGUGGAGGCUAUAUACAAGGGGUACCGGUACAGAGUCAAUGUGGAGGCUAUAUACAGGGUGUUACGGUACAGAGUCAAUGUGGAGGCUAUAUACAG
rnacentral:lncRNA from 1 species